GACGAACCGUGCGAACGUUGUUCGGAAUCACUGGGCUUAAAGGGCGCGUAGGCGGGUCGGCCAGUCUGUGGUGAAAUCCCCCGGCUUAACCGGGGAACGGCCGCGGAUACUGCCGACCUCGAGGGGGGUAGGGGCGUGCGGAACACUAGGUGGAGCGGUGAAAUGCGUUGAUAUCUAGUGGAACUCCGGUGGCGAAGGCGGCAUCCUGGACCAACACUGACACUGAGGAGCGAAAGCCAGGGGAGCAAACGGG
rnacentral:rRNA from 1 species